rnacentral:SRP_RNA from 1 species
UUACCAGGUUGUCUAAGGAGAGACGAAUCGGCCCAGGGCGGAAACGCAGCAGGCAAAAGUCCCCG